CGGGUGCACUGAUCCAGCCGGGCCUUUCCCUCUGUGGAACCUCAUGGCCUUCACUGGCUGUGCUGGGGAAACAGGACUUUUACUGUGAAAAAAUUAGAGUGCUUAAGGCAGGCCUAUGCUCGAAUACAUUAGCAUGGAAUAAUAGAAUAGGACGUGUGGUUCUAUUUUGUUGGUUUCUAGGACCGCCGUAAUGAUUAAUAGGGACAGUCGGGGGCAUCAGUAUUCAAUUGUCAGAGGUGAAAUUCUUGGAUCUAUUGAAGACUAACUACUGCGAAAGCAUUUGCCAAGGAUGUUUUCAUUGAUAAGGAACGAGAGUUAGGGGAUCGAAGACGAUCAGAUACCGUCGUAGUCUUAACUAUAAACUAUGCCGACUAGGGAUCGGACGAUGUUAUUUCUUGACGCGUUCGGCACCUUUCGAGAAAUCAAAGUGCUUGGGCUCCAGGGGGAGUAUGGUCGCAAGGCUGAAACUUAAAGAAAUUGACGGAAGGGCACCACCAGGGGUGGAACCUGCGGCUUAAUUUGACUCAACACGGGGAAACUCACCAGGUCCAGACACAGUGAGGAUUGACAGAUUGAGAGCUCUUUCUUGAUUCUGUGGGUGGUGGUGCAUGGCCGUUCUUAGUUGGUGGAGUGAUUUGUCUGCUUAAUUGCGAUAACGAACGAGACCUUGACCUGCUAAAUAGCCCGUACUGCUUUGGCAGUUCGCCGGCUUCUUAGAGGGACUAUCGG
rnacentral:rRNA from 1 species